rnacentral:rRNA from 1 species
AGGCUGAAAGGAUGGAAGGAAAAAGUGUUAUCCAUGCAAGGCAAAGAAAUUUUGUUGAAGUCAGUAGUACAAGCUAUUCUCUCAUAUGUCAUGUCAGUAUUUAAACUUCCCAAAGGAAUUUGCAAAUCCAUAAUUGAUGAGAUGUCAAGAUUUUGGUGGGGAGAUGGUGAAAAAAAGAAAAAGAUGCAUUUAUGUGCAUGGUGGAAGAUAUGCAUCCCAAAGAACAAAGGGGCAGGGAUUUAGAGACUUGCACAAUUUAAUCUUACUAUGUUAGCAAAGCAGUGUUGGUGUCUAAUCCAAAACCCUAACUCAUUGUGGGCAUAUGUAUUAAGUGCAAAAUAUUAUCCUGAUGGAAAUAUAUAG